rnacentral:rRNA from 1 species
GACGAACGCUGGCGGCGUGCUUAACACAUGCAAGUCGAACGGAAAGGCCCUGCUUUUGUGGGGUGCUCGAGUGGCGAACGGGUGAGUAACACGUGAGUAACCUGCCCUUGACUUUGGGAUAACUUCAGGAAACUGGGGCUAAUACCGGAUAGGAGCUCCUGCUGCAUGGUGGGGGUUGGAAAGUUUCGGCGGUUGGGGAUGGACUCGCGGCUUAUCAGCUUGUUGGUGGGGUAGUGGCUUACCAAGGCUUUGACGGGUAGCCGGCCUGAGAGGGUGACCGGCCACAUUGGGACUGAGAUACGGCGCAGACUCGUACGGGGGGCAGCAGUGGGGAGUAUUGCACAAUGGGCGGGAGCCUGAUGCAGCAACGCCGCGUGCGGGAUGACGGCCUUCGGGUUGUAAACCGCUUUCGCCUGUGACGAAGCGUGAGUGACGGUAAUGGGUAAAGAAGCACCGGCUAACUACGUG